GACGAACGCUGGCGGCGUGCUUAACACAUGCAAGUCGAACGGCGAAGCGCCUUCCUUUUUGGUGGGUGUGGAUGAGUUGCGAACGGGUGAGUAACACGUGAGUAACCUGCCCCUUUCUUCUGGAUAACCGCAUGAAAGUGUGGCUAAUACGGGAUAUUCUGGGUCUGUCGCAUGAUGGGUCUGUGAAAGAUAUUGUUUCGGUGGGGGAUGGGCUCGCGGUCUAUCAGGUUGUUGGUGGGGUGAUGGCCUACCAAGGCGGUGCCGGGUAGCCGGCCUGGGAGGGUGGACGGUCAUGCUGGGACUGAGACACGGCCCAGACUCCGACGGGAGGCAGCGGUGGGGAAUAUUGAACAGUGGGCGCAAGCCUGAUGCAGCGACGCCGCGUGAGGGAUGGAGGCCUUCGGGUUGUGAACCUCUUUCGGCAGUGAAGCGGGCCUGCCUCGUAUGUGGGUGGGUUGACGGUAGCUGGAUAAGAAGCACCGGCUAACUACGUG
rnacentral:rRNA from 1 species